rnacentral:rRNA from 1 species
UACGAAGGGGGCUAGCGUUGCUCGGAAUCACUGGGCGUAAAGCGCACGUAGGCGGCUUUUUAAGUCAGGGGUGAAAUCCUGGAGCUCAACUCCAGAACUGCCUUUGAUACUGGCGAUCUCGAGUCCGGGAGAGGUGAGUGGAACUGCGAGUGUAGAGGUGAAAUCGUAGAUAUUCGCAAGAACACCAGUGGCGAAGGCGGCUCACUGGCCCGGUACUGACGCUGAGGUGCGAAAGCGUGGGGAGCAAACAGGA